UCCCUGGUGGCUCAGAUGGUAAAGCGUCUGCCUGCCCUGUGGGAGACCCAGGUUCAAUCCCUGGAUUGGGAA
rnacentral:tRNA from 1 species